rnacentral:lncRNA from 1 species
GUUGACACUUGUUCUCAUUUGUUCUCUUAAUAUGCUCAGAGACUAAGGGCCUCUUCCUGUGUGGUAUCUCAGCAUAUUCUUGCCUGCCUGCCAACUGGACAGCUCUCCAUUACAUUUCUUUGUGUUUGAUGGGUGGGUGCCUAACUUCUCCCCAA